GACGUAGGGAGCAAGCGUUGUCCGGAUUCAUUGGGCGUAAAGGGUCCGUAGGCGGCUCAGCAAGUCAGGUGUGAAAUCUCCAGGCUCAACCUGGAGGGGCCACCUGAUACUGCUGUGGCUUGAGUCCAGUAGGGGAGCAUGGAAUUCCCGGUGUAGCGGUGAAAUGCGCAGAUAUCGGGAGGAACACCAGUGGCGAAGGCGGUGCUCUGGGCUGGAACUGACGCUGAUGGACGAAAGCGUGGGUAGCAAACAGG
rnacentral:rRNA from 2 species